GAAAAUGGAGGAUCUUAUGACAGUUUUAGUACUUGGUGGAGCAGGAUAUGUAGGAAGCCAUGCGGUAGAUAUGCUUGUUAAUCGUGGUUACGAUGUGGCAGUUGUUGAUAAUUUAGUAACAGGUCAUCGCGAGGCUGUGUCAGAAAAAGUACGUUUUUAUGAGGGAGAUGUACGGGACCAUGCUUUCUUAGCUAGUGUUUUUGAAAAGGAAAAUAUUGAAGGAAUUAUGCAUUUUUGCGCUUAUUCAUUAGUGGGUGAGUCAAUGCAAAAACCAUUGAUGUAUUUCAAUAACAAUGUCGGCGGAGCUCAGGUGAUUCUAGAAACAAUGGAAGAAUUUGGUGUUAAGCAUAUUGUUUUCUCAAGUACCGCAGCUACUUUUGGUAUUCCUGAGGAAAGUCCAAUUUCUGAAAAAACACCACAAAAACCAAUUAAUCCUUACGGCGAAAGUAAAUUAAUCAUGGAAAAAAUGAUGAAAUGGCAAUCGCAAGCCACAGAUAUGACUUAUGUUGCUCUGCGCUAUUUCAAUGUUGCUGGUGCCAAAGAUGAUGGGUCAAUUGGUGAAGCCCAUAAAAAUGAAACACAUUUAAUUCCAAUUAUCCUACAAACUGCACUUGGACAAAGAGAAUUUAUUACCAUUUAUGGUGAUGAUUAUCAGACUCCUGAUGGAACAUGUAUCCGUGAUUAUAUUGAUAUGGAAGAUUUGAUUGAAGCACAUAUCAAAGCACUUGAAUAUCUUAAAUCUGGUGGGAAAUCUGACCAAUUUAAUCUUGGCUCAAGUAAAGGUUAUUCAAAUCUUGAAGUGCUUGAAACAGCACGAAAAGUAACAGGAAAAGAAAUUCCAAGUCAAAUGGGUGAACGUCGUCCUGGCGAUCCAGAUGAACUUGUAGCGGACUCAACAAAAGCCGGCGAAAUUUUAGGAUGGAAAGUAAAAAAUGAUUUGGAACACAUCAUUACAAAUGCUUGGGAAUGGCAUCAAAGUCAUCCAAAAGGCUACUGAUUAAUUAUCUAAAAUUCGAAAAGAAGCUCAAUUUUUUGAGCUUUUUUU
rnacentral:misc_RNA from 1 species